AAAGCAGGACGGUCCGUCGCCGGCCCUUCGGGGCGGGAGGAAAGUCCGGGCAACGCAGGGCACCGUGCUUCCUAACGGGAAGUCGCUCGUGAGGGUGAGUACACGCAACAGAGAACAGACCGCCUACGGGUAAGGGUGAAACGGCGGGGUAAGAGCCCACCGCCAGUUUGGUGACAAGCUGGGCCGUACGCUCCUUAUGUUGCAAAACCAAGUAUACCGACGUAUGUAGGGUUGCUCGCCCGAUGUCGGGGGGUAGGUCGCUCGAGCCCGUCGGUGACGGCGGGCGUAGAUAAAUGACAGACGCCCUUUCGGGGGUACAUAACCCGGCUUACAGGCCUGCUUUCGCC
rnacentral:RNase_P_RNA from 1 species